GGUUCAGUAGUUCAUUCCCUUAAUGGAAACAUGUGAAUAUCAAAUAGUGAUACAUUACAAUUCAUGAAAUGAUGCAUGCAUAACUUUCCAUUUCUGGUUUCUUUUUUACAAAAGUAGUGCACGAAUUAACAUUCGUGCACUACUACAAAAUUUCUCACUUCACAACAGAACCUUAUGAUGAUCUUAACAGCUCACCUCUUCGGCCAGGACUCCCUGGGCAGCAACAUCCUAUUAGCCAUGUUGUUGUUUUUCUUUUUCGGAAUCCUCCGUGCAGCCACAUACCAUGCCUGGAAUGGAAAACCAGCUAUAAAUAACAAUGUAUUUGAAUGACUUCCUCUUGAAGUAUUUAUUCUAAUCAGAUAUGCUUUUGUGCCUAGUAUGGUGCGCGAAGGCUCAUAAGUAUGUACAACAUUUGCAGACGUUCGACGUAAGCAGUUCAAUUAGAUCAAUUCAAGUACGCCGACUUGCGCUUUUAUUUUUGAAGAAAUACGACGACAAAUUUUAACAAAUUAAAUAUGGCUCACAAUGAUACGCGUAAAUGCUGCUGUACGGUGAUGCAUUGUCGGUAUCUUAUCGUCUUCGAAUAAAUUUGUUGUUCCUAAACGCGCAACCAACUAGAAACGGCGCAAACCUACGAACAGAUACUGAGUUACAUCUAUUUCAGGCGUUUCGGCUGUUUAUUAUUCAUUUAAAUUACUCGUAUGAGAAUCCAACUAUGUGUGGACAGCACACUACUAAGCCAGACAAUCUACGAAAGCAUUACUCACCAGAAUUCCUGCUUGACUUGGUCAACACUGCGCGAUAUACGUUGGGGCUGUGGCGAUUCAUUCAACUCGAUUUUUACCGGAACAACAGGCGCUGCUCAAAAGACAACGACGGAAAAUAGAGAGCCGCUAUAAAGUCCGCUAAUUUGCACAUUACAGCACUACAAAUCGAUAUAUGAACACGUCGUAAACAGCAACCACUCGCUCACACAAGAAACGAGGUACCCAACGUUGCUAGACACCAUCCGAACUCCAAAGUGAGAGUAGCAAAACAAUCAGAUAUCAAAACACGAAAGGAAGAGUAUUGAUCCCCCCUCCUUCUAUAGCAUGCAAAACGGGAUUUGCGCUGAGAUGAACAUAUAUGUUCAUGACGCGAGGAAUUUUCACUUUUCACUGAUCCAAAGGAGGUCACGUGGGAUUGUUGCGAAGUUAACAGCAAUGAAAAUGGCGAAACGAAACUUGUGAAUCGUGCAUUUGCUCUUCGUGGUAGCUGCCAGAAAAUCGAAUCAAACUUAUGGGACACUGGAUUACAGGUUGCUGCCACUACUCCAUGCGCCCGCAAUUGUCUUGCUUGUAUGACUACACUAACGACGUCGCCGACCACGGCGGAAGUGUUUUGCGUACACGCGCUUCAGCAUGAAGCCUGCAGGUGGACGUAACUGGUAGAAGGCAGCUAGUGGGGGAGAAGAUCAUGGUCAUAGGUCAUGUGGCUCCUGGAGCUCCCAGUGGGCUCCCUUGUGGAGUACUUUUCAGAACACACACACACACAGUUUGCUCACAGAACCAACGAGUAGGAUGUUGCUUGAAUGGCGCAACACAUACAAAUAUCGUGUGACACACAUGGCAAUAAAAACAUUUUUCACGAGGGAUGCAUGAAACACUGUCCCAAUAUUGUGUGCAUGAACCAUUGUGUGUGACACAAGCCUUGGGGGCACACCGCCUUGGACACAUUUUGGGAAGCAUAAAACACAGUAUAUACAGAGCUAAUAUGGUGGAUGCUUCUUUUUGGCCGUUAUGAGACAUCUUCGGCCGUAACGAGACACUUGGGGAUUAAAGGAUUUUCGGCCGUAAUGAGACUUUCGGCUGUAAUGAGACCUUGGCCGUAAUGAGAUGUUACCGCAGGAGCCACUAACAGCGUCACAGAUCAGCAGCGCAGGAAAAAUCUCGAAUCAAGUGCACGUUCUUUUCUUUUUUUUCUCUGUCUCCUCAUGUUCCCCUACCCCAGCCUCGUCCGUUUGCCCUCGACGAUUGCUGUAGGGCAAGGGUCAUGUCCCAAAGCAGACAAUCAAAAAAAGCGAUGGGGUAUGACAAAGCAAGUUUAUUUGUCCUCGGGAACUGCUUCAAAAAAGUUACAGUACAUACCGUAAUUUCACGCGUAUAAGCCGCAGGUCCCGCUUUUAGGAACGUUUUAAAAAUUUUUGGGCAGGCAAUACGACGUUACUGAUUUGUGCAACAAAGGAGACCAUAGAGAAGGCCAUAAAACCUGUGUUCCAUCCUCCGGGAUCGGCGUAGUGUAUAACAUUGUGCCCUUGUUGGCCGUUUUUCAUGGACUGACGGGUCAGUGGUCUUCCAGAAGACGUGAAUCACUGUCACAGUCACUGUUACGUGCUGUUCGUGCAUCAGCAGGGCAGUGCUGCUCCAGAGACACUGUUGGCGCCAGUGCCGGAUUUACAGUGGUGGGGGCCCCGGGGCAAUGUGCUGUGGGGGCUCCUUGAUGUAUUCUAUGUCUAUCCAAUGUGUUAUUCAGGGUCGAUAUGCGUGGACGGAGGACAGAUUUUUACUAAGUUUCCGUUUCAGGCACGCAAAACAGGUUUCCCUUGGACAAGACCUUUACUGGUGUUGGGGCUCCGGGGCAAGUGCUCCGUCUGCCCUCCCCUAAAUCCGGCACUGGUUGGCACUUUUGUUAAAACGGGCGUAUGGGAAAAAUACCAGAAAAAAUAGUCAUCAGAUAAGCCGCCCCGGUGGAUAAGCCGCAGGGCGCCUGUGAGAGAAAAAAAUCGCGCAUAAGCCGCGGCUAACACGCGUGAAAUUACGGCAUCUUUUCAGACCUCGUAACAGGCUUCACUGGAGCUUUACGUGCUUCGACAUCGAAGGGCAGUUCAGAUUGCUUCCUUCUGUCCUUUUGUUUCUUCUUCUUAAGAACAGACAGUUUUUCAUCUUCACCUGCGUUGUGGAAUUUAAGCCCAGCUUAACACGUUACCACCUGGCGCGCACGCACGUUACAGAGUUAUUUCAUACAUUGUAGCAUACGCAUUCCCGUUUUUCACCUCCAAAUGCACUGCGUAGAGCGGCUGGCAUACGAUGCCCCUCGAUCGUAGUUUCGCCUACUUCAGUAGAGAGUUUUAGUAGAUUGUACGCUAUCGCCUUUGCGUACGUAAGGGAUAGCGUUG